rfam:Mus musculus strain 129X1/SvJ chromosome 6 CRA_211000022011560, whole genome shotgun sequence.
AGUUGGUCUGGGGUUGUGGGUUAUUGUUAAAUUGUUUAACACUGUUUCCCCCCAUACCCAUGCUUGACUAACGUGGGGAAAU